rnacentral:rRNA from 1 species
UACGUAGGGUGCGAGCGUUGUCCGGAAUCACUGGGCUUAAAGGGCGCGUAGGCGGGUGCUCAAGUCCGGGGUGAAAUCCUCCAGCUCAACUGGAGAACUGCCUCGAUACUGGGCGUCGUCGAGUGUGGUAGGGGUGUGCGGAACUAUCGGUGGAGCGGUGAAAUGCGUUGAUAUCGAUAGGAACUCCGGUGGCGAAGGCGGCGACACUGGACCACCACUGACGCUGAUGCGCGAAAGCCAGGGGAGCAAACGGG